GCUCCCUUAGUUCAGCUGGAUAGAACAAGGACCUCCUAAGUCUUAGACGUGAGUUCAAAUCUCGCAGGGAGUACCA
rnacentral:tRNA from 1 species